GACGAACGCUGGCGGCGUGCUUAACACAUGCAAGUCGAACGGAAAGGCCCUGCUUUUGUGGGUUGCUCGAGUGGCGAACGGGUGAGUAACACGUGUGUAACCUGCCCCUGACUUUGGGAUAACUUCUGGAAACUGGGUCUAAUACCGGAUAGGAGCUCCUGCUGCAUGGUGUGGGUUGGAAAGAUUCGGCGGUUGGGGAUGGACUCGCGGCUUAUCAGCUUGUUGGUGGGGUAGUGGCUUACCAAGGCUUUGACGGGUAGCCGGCCUGAGAGGGUGAACGGCCACAUUGGGACUGAGAUAGGGCCCAGAAUCCUACGGGAGGCAGCAGUGGGGAAUAUUGCACAAUGGGCGGGAGCCUGAUGCAGAAACGCCGCGUGCGGGAUGACGGGCUUCGGGUUGUAAACCGCUUUCGCCGGUAACGAAGCGUGAGUGACGGUAAUGGGUAAAGAAGCCCCGGCUAACUACGUG
rnacentral:rRNA from 1 species